AAUUAUAAAUUUCCUUUUUUUUUUCUUCCUCCCCACACGCCGAACCCAACCCGAUCCCUCACUUCUUCCCCGACUUCUCCUCCUCCUCCCCCGAUCUCCCCUCUGCUCGAAGCCGAUCUCCUCCUUUCCCUCUUCUUCUUCUCGCUACCCCUCUCAUGGACGAAUCGGCGCCGAGGUUGGAGGAGUACGUCACCGGAACUCGACGGGAACCAGCAGGCUUCAGGUCAUCUUCGGUCGAGGGUUGUUGUUCGGUGGAUUCGGCGGCCGGACGUCGACGGCACGGUACAUAGGGCACGACAGAGGCUUGAUUUACAUCGUCUCCCAAUCAAUCGAUCUUCCCUUUCCCCUCCUUUGGUUUUCUUCGUCCUGAUUCUCUCCGAUCCUGUUCGAUGGUUCUUGCCAAGCCCUAGUUCCGUUCUAGUGCUGUGGGAUCGAGCUAGAUCCACCGAUCGCCGGUGUAGAGAGGCAGUUAGGGAUUCGAAGGGUUAGGGAAAAGUCUCGGAUCAUUGUAUUGUUGUUCUCCCCUGAUCAAGCUUGGUCCUCCUCUACUUACGACUGUGAGGGGGUCUCGGUUGAAGAUGAUGGGGUCAUUUGAGCUGUCGACAGAGGCUAGGAGAGUUCUUGCUUGAUUGGUGAUCUCCACCGCUUGACCUCCUGCUUGAUCCGAUUGAUAGCAGCAAGUUGUUUCCAGCAGGUGAUGAGGUUGUGUACUGUUGGUGUUCUUGAUCUCACCUUGAACCCAAUUGAAUAGGGAAGGAUUUCAGUAGGAUUGUGUUCUGCGAAUUCAUCAGUGAGGGGCUGUUGAGGUGAGGAUCUGUUCCAGUGGUGUUUCCUUGCCGGCAGCACACAAAACCAGCAUCAACAGUAGCUUGAUUGAGGUUGAGGCCGUCGGGAGAUAUUCCAGUCGCUAGCCCCAUUAUCGCGAGGAUUUUCUUUAUCG